GAUGAACGCUGGCGGCGUGCCUAAUACAUGCAAGUCGAGCGGACCAAAGAGAGCUUGCUCUCUGAGGUUAGCGGCGGACGGGUGAGUAACACGUGGGUAACCUGCCUGUAAGACGGGGAUAACUUCGGGAAACCGAAGCUAAUACCGGAUGAUAAGGAGAAACGCCUGUUUCUUUUUUGAAAGUCGGCCUUGUGCUGACGCUUCAGAUGGGCCCGCGGCGCAUUAGCUAGUUGGUGAGGUAACGGCUCACCAAGGCGACGAUGCGUAGCCGACCUGAGAGGGUGAUCGGCCACACUGGGACUGAGACACGGCCCAGACUCCUACGGGAGGCAGCAGUAGGGAAUCUUCGGCAAUGGACGAAAGUCUGACCGAGCAACGCCGCGUGAGCGAUGAAGGCCUUCGGGUCGUAAAGCUCUGCUGUCAGAGAAGAACAAGUACCGGAGUAACUGCCGGUACCUUGACGGUACCUGACCAGAAAGCCACGGCUAACUACGUGCCAGCCGCCGCGGUAACAC
rnacentral:rRNA from 1 species